GGCCUGGGGACGCUGCGGGUCGAGGUCGGGGUGGGCCUGGAACCUCUGGCGGAGGACGUGGACUGGCACCGGCCCCCACGGCCUCGCAGUCUCUGGCCGGGUCCCUGGGCUACGCUCCCACCCUCACCCACCACGAGCCCUCCCUGUGACCUCGUCUUUACAGUCUGGGAAACAUGCCGACCACAAAGGGCAUAGAUUUCUUUACUUACUGGCCCCUUCCCGGGCGCAGAAUCAGCAGAGACAAGUGGUCCCUGCCGUCAUGGAGCUGGCAUCCUGGUGGGCAGAGACAGGCAGCAAACAAACGCUUACAUACACAAAGAAGAUAAUUUCAGGGAGUAAUAAGUGCUAGGAAGAAAACUAGCAGGUGAAGUGAGGAAUAGGGGCUACUUAGCUGGGUGUGAGAGGAGGAGGCCCAGUGAGUGCGGAACUGACUGCCAGGAAGGAACCUGCCACGUAGAGCUGGGAAGACCCUUCCUGGCCAAGGCAAGAGCAAGUGCAAAGGCCCUGAGGCAAGAGAGAGCUUGGUGCCUAACCAGCAACUGGUGGAGCAGUGGACAUGCUGAGGGCAGAGCCAUGUGGGGGCCAAGGUCUUCAGGGCUCCAGGGCCUGGUGGGGAAUCUGAAUGCAAUUCCAGGGCCGUUGGCAGAGCUUAAGCAGAGGAAUAUUGAAUGAAUGAGUGAAUGAACCUGCUGUGAACUUACAGACUCACUGAUAACUGCCACCCCAAGGCUUCCACUCUGCACAGCUCAGGCAGAACGCCUCCCAUUCCCACCCAGCCUCUGGGGUCUGUUGGUCCUAUGAGUGCAGGAGGGGUGUCAAGGUGUCAGAGCUCCCAGGUGACCUGGACUGGGGGCAAGUUCCCCUACAGAACCUCUGCUUCCUCCUCUGAAAGGUAAGGCAGUGCAGGGGACACGGUGCCCUUGCUCUGUGACAGGACUGUACCCCUCCACACAUUGUCCAUUUGACCUGACAGCCCCUCUGUGAGGCAGAUGGUCACAUUUUGUUCAUGAGGAAACAGGCACAGAGUGGUGGUCAUCUGUCCAGGGUCUCAGGCUAACAUGAUAGAGCCCUGUACCCAGAGCCCUUCCCACCAGCUCAGCCACCCACCACCCAGGGUGAUGUUAAGGGCCAGACAAAAGCGGGGUCAGAGGGUGAGCGGCAUUGUUUCAAGCUAGUUUUAAGCACAGCUUCCCGGGGAGACAGACCUGGUUUCUAAGUCCGGCUCCUCCGUGCCCAGCUGGGUGGCUUUGGAAAAACCAGUUCACUUGCUAAGCUUCAGUCCCGUCUGUAAGAUGGGAGUAAUCAUAGCAGCUCCUUCCUGGGGUCUCCGCGAGGGCUGAACGAGGAAAGGCGUGUGGAGCAUUUAGCCCAGAGCCAGGAGGCUGUGAAUACUGUUGGUGCUUCAGGUCACAGGCCAGACGAGUGGGGACGGUCCCCUUCACACAUCUGGGGCCUUCUAGCCCCUGCCGUGUCCAGUGUCUGGGGAGGGCCUAGGCAAGACCUGCACCAGGCACCUCAGCAGCCAUGAGAAGAGGGGCUUCCCUGGGGGAGGAUACUAACAACUGCCUUUUGGGAGCAGCCGGUGUGCGUGUAUGGGCGUCCUCGGGCAGCCGUGACAAGUGACCACAGAUUCAGUGGCUUACAGCAGCGUGGAUUUGUUCUGUACAGUUCUGGUGGUCGGAUGUCCCAAACCAGUGUCAACGGGCUGAGGUCAAGGUGUCAGCAGGGCUGCACCUCUGAAGGCUCCCGGGGAGAGUCCUGCCUGUUCCAGCUUCUGGAGGCCACCUGCAUUUCGUACCUUGUGACCCCUUGGCGACCUCUGGAAGCCAGAAAAGGCAAAGAAAUAUGGCUUCUGUUGUCACAGCCCCUGCUCCCUCCCUGACCUUCUUGCCUUCUCUUACAGGUUCCUGUAAUUCCUUCAGGGCCCCUGGAAUCCAGGAGACUCUCCCAUCUCAAGAGCCUUAAUUUCAUCACACCUGCAAGACUCUCCGCCCCCUCCUUUUUUUUUUUUUUUUUUUUGCCACAUAAAGGAGCAUUCAUGGGUUCUAGAGAUGAGGACCCGGAUAUCUUUGUGAGCCAUUGUUCAGCAGCACACUCCAUGCCUUCUCUUAACGCUCCCUCAUCAUGACUCAUUUUACAGAUGAAAGAAUCGAGGCUCAGAGAGAAACCUCUGACCGUCCUUCCUGGGACCUUGGAGGACUAACUCCUUCCUCACAGUCUGCACCAUGUGCCCUGUGCUCUCCGGGCCGCUAAGUCUGGGGACGUUCAGUCACUUUGUGAAGCGCCACGUUGUCCUUCACGCUGGGGGUUCUCGUUCCUGAGGCGGACUGACGCAGCCGGACAGGGCCUCGACGUGUCCACCGCCUUGUGCAGGACCCAGGGGUUCUCCGACAUCCCUCCCAGCAACUUCGAGAAAUUCUACGACUUUGGCAAGAUGUGAAGAAGGCCUCUGUCGCCGACUUGCCUUUUACUGCCAACACGGACAACCAGUGUGCGGCUGCUGGGGCCCCGUUGUCAGAAUUAGCUGGAUCAGCCCAGGACUGGUUGCAUCAGAGUUACGUUAGGGAAGGGCGGAUUUCCACUCGUCUCAGCCAUUGUGUGUCUCCGUUACAGAGCCUUUGUUCCACCUCAGACACUUUGGCUUUUGGUGGUAAUAACACCUUGGUUUUCCUGGGGAGGGGGGCUGUUCCUUCCCACUUUCAGCCCAUGUGGUUCAGCCUCCACCAACACGACCUCUGGGUUGCAGAGAUGCUCGUGUGAUUCUGGUUUAAUCAAUCAAAGUGCCUCAUUUACCUGGCCACAGUGACGGGUCCAAGGAUGGCCACAUGAUCCAAGCCCUCUGGCAGUUUUGCUAGAAGCCUUGAGCAUUGCUGGAACCUCCAGGGGGUGCUAAGCUGGUUAGUUGUGGACCUGAGAAUAAAGUCAGUCUUAUAGGAAAGCAGUGCAGAACCACACACAGAGACUCCAGCUGGGCACCUGGAUCCAGCUAUGCCUGAAGCUCAGACACUCUGGACUUUCAAUUACACACAAGCCAAUAAAU